rnacentral:rRNA from 1 species
ACAGAGGGUGCUAGCGUUGUUCGGAAUUAUUGGGCGUAAAGCGCGUGUAGGCGGCCUAGCAAGUUGGGUGUGAAAGCCCUCGGCUUAACCGAGGAAGUGCGCCCAAAACUACUAGGCUUGAGUACCGGAGAGGAUGGCGGAAUUCCCGGUGUAGAGGUGAAAUUCGUAGAUAUCGGGAGGAACACCAGUGGCGAAGGCGGCCAUCUGGACGGAUACUGACGCUGAGACGCGAAAGCGUGGGUAGCAAACAGGA